rnacentral:rRNA from 1 species
AAACGAUUGAAGCCAGUCAUGCUAGUGGGAAAUCAGCUCAUAGGCUACUGUGGGUGCACUUUCUCGCAAGGCAGGUUAACAUCGAUUUCAGUUGCAUUAUAAUGAUAGUGGGAAGGUAGCUCUCUCGGGAGUGUUAUAGCCUGCUAUAGAUGGCGUGACAGAGAUCGAGGAUUGCAGCGAAUGCCUUUAGGCUACAGGUCUGGUCUUUUUAAAGGUGUGAUCUUGUCCGUCAGCAUGCUGACGACAAG